ensembl:lncRNA novel transcript
UGUUAAAAGCAUGCGAAGCUCCCCAGCUGAACCUUGUAUUCUCUGACUAUUGAGCAACUUCGAUUCCACUGGCAGUCUAAGUUCAACCAACCUCAGAGGAGCCUUGGGCCACAGAGAAGACCUGACUCUACAGACAAUUCUCCAGUGUUUCCAACAUUGGCUCAACCCAAAACUCAACUUCAGCAGAAAUGAAGGUAAAACUGCAGGCUGCUUUAUCUGAACUCAGCAGCAAGAGAUAACAUAAAUGGAAGUAAUUUGGAAGCAGAAAGCAAAAUGCAAGUGUAAGGAAUAUUUAUAAUAAAACUCAAAAAUGUAUCAAAACAUAAA